UUCACUCUCUUGUGGAGAUUUUCCUGGAAUCAUGCCAGAUGCAGUCCUCAGCUCGCAAAGUGUGGAUCACAGUCCCAGCCCUGAAGCCCCGUUGGCCUCAGCAUUUCUGUGUCCACCUGUACACAACCUCGCAUCGUGCUUCUUCUGCCCGGAUCAUCAUGAUGCUUUGAACAUGUAGCACCGGGAGAUAAAGGUCUCCUCCAGAAACAAAAUACAAAGAAACUACAAUGACUAAAAACAACUGCACGUACACACAGCUGGGGCAAAUUGUGAACAAAACCCAACGAGAACAAAAACCUAACUGCCUCUUCAGGAGUGUCAGGAGCAAAACCAAGCUCCACACGCACCACCAAGCAGGAUAAAGGUGACUUACGGAAUCAAGAUAUUGCCGAAGACAACUUAUUAUGGGCCCGUGGGACUCUGGUAGGAAUCUUAAAAGAGUAGGACAAUUCCUGUUUGGGGAACAUAAAGUUUG
ensembl:lncRNA